AUGACUCUCAUCACCAUCCUCAUCUGGACGCUGGCCUGCUGCUGUUUUACAGGAUGCAGCGGUCAGGUGACUGUGACUCAGCCUCCAGUAGUGACAUCUACUCCAGGAUCCACCGUCUCUCUCACCUGUAAGACCAGCCAAGCUGUUUACAGAUACAGUGAUGGAGAUUGGGCUAUGUUCUGGUAUCAACAGAAAUCUGGACAGCCUCCAAAGCUUCUAAUAAAAUAUGCGAGCACACGUGAAUCAGGAACAGCAGCUCGGUUUAGUGGCAGUGGAAGCAGCUCUGACUUCACUUUCACCAUCAGUGGAGUUCAGACUGAAGACGCAGCAGUUUAUUACUGUAAGAGUUACCAUGAAAUAAACAGUGCUGAUGUGUUCACACAGUGAUUUAGAGCCGUACAAAAACCUCCUUCAGUUUGACUGAAGUGAAACCGGCCUGCUGCAGGUGCAGAGGGUUGGUGAAGAGACUGUGAUGAGGAGAACUGGUCCAGUGAACACAACACAAGAGUCAUCAAGCAGAACCACAAUGAAUCUAAAUAAAACUGGAACAAACUCACAGACGCUCUUCCAUCUACAGUUUAAACUUAUAAUCUUGUAAUUCAGUCUCUUUAUGAGUAAACUGGGGAGGUUAAACU